AUUGAACGCUGGCGGCAGGCCUAACACAUGCAAGUCGAACGGUAGCACAGAGAGCUUGCUCUCGGGUGACGAGUGGCGGACGGGUGAGUAAUGUCUGGGAAACUGCCUGAUGGAGGGGGAUAACUACUGGAAACGGUAGCUAAUACCGCAUAACGUCGCAAGACCAAAGAGGGGGACCUUCGGGCCUCUUGCCAUCAGAUGUGCCCAGAUGGGAUUAGCUAGUAGGUGGGGUAACGGCUCACCUAGGCGACGAUCCCUAGCUGGUCUGAGAGGAUGACCAGCCACACUGGAACUGAGACACGGUCCAGACUCCUACGGGAGGCAGCAGUGGGGAAUAUUGCACAAUGGGCGCAAGCCUGAUGCAGCCAUGCCGCGUGUAUGAAGAAGGCCUUCGGGUUGUAAAGUACUUUCAGCGGGGAGGAAGGUGUUGUGGUUAAUAACCGCAGCAAUUGACGUUACCCGCAGAAGA
rnacentral:rRNA from 1 species